GACGAACGCUGGCGGCGUGCUUAACACAUGCAAGUCGAACGGAAAGGCCUGCUUUCCCUUGUGGAUUGCGGGUACUCGAGUGGCGAACGGGUGAGUAACACGUGAGUGAUCUGCCCCCAACUUGGGUAUAAGCCUGGGAAACUGGGUCUAAUUCCCGAUAGGACUGCAGGGUGGUGCCUGUGGUGGAAAACGAUUUUCUAGUGGUUGGGGAUGAGCUCGCGGCCUAUCAGCUUGUUGGUGGGGUAAUGGCCUACCAAGGCGGCGACGGGUAGCCGGCCUGAGGGGGUGGACGGCCACAUGGGGACUGAGAUACGGCCCAGACGCAUACGGGAGGAAGCAGUGGGGAAUAUUGCACAAUGGGCGGAAGCCUGAGGCAGCGACGCCGGGGGGGGGAUGACGGCCUUCGGGUUGUAAACUCCUUUCGACCGCGAGGAAGCCACCUGGUUGGAAGGGUGGUGACGGUAGUGGUAGAAGAAGCACCGGCUAACUACGUG
rnacentral:rRNA from 1 species